CUCAAGGCUUAAGUGCACAAGCAAAAGG
rnacentral:piRNA from 1 species